GAGCCAAAGCAGAAAAACAGGGGACGCCGCCCUUCUUCCGUCCCGUGCGUGAGGGGGGCGCGGCCAUUCGGUUUUUGCAAUAUGACCUGUGGGCCAAAAAUCGAAAAAAAAAAAAAUAAGAGGCGGCUGCGGAAUUUUAUAAGACAAGCGCAGGGCCAAAGAAAAAAUAAUAAUUGACGUGGCUGAACAACAGUCUCUCCCCACCCCUUUCCAAAAAGGGGAAUGAAAUACGAGUUCUUUUUCCCAAUUGGUAAAUAUUCAACAAGAGACGCGCAGUACGUAACAUGCGAAUUGCGUAAUUCACG